UUGGUAUGACCAGCCGACCAUC
rnacentral:siRNA from 1 species